CAUCUCAAUACCUGUCAAGAGCAUAUUUCUCAUGCUUUUUCUUUCCCCUCAAUACAGUGUUUUGGAAAGAUUGCUGCCUAUUCCACUUGUGGAAGAUGCCAUCACAGGAACAGGAAGACCUAAACUGAUCCUCAGAGUUUUCUUGAACUUACAGCCAGAUGCAUUAAGGAAAAUAUAUUUAUCUUGCAAACUUUUACCAUCAGACACUGGAAAACUCAUGAGACAUUAACAGCUCAA